CCAUCAUCAUUAUAUUUUUCUUCAUCAGUACAAAUCUUUUUCUUUCUAAGGGAGUCCUCUACCCGUGCAAAAUUUCUCCCACAUCUGAAUAAAUCAGCGCUACCAUCUCACUCACUACAGAGUCGACUAUAAAAUGUGCAGGACAGGAGCCAACUGGAACAAGGAAUUCAGUACUGAGGAUUACAACUGAAUCAGCUGCUAAAAGAGAAAUGCACACUACUACAGCCAAGUGACUUGCAGUACCUGUAAAAGAACUUAACAUACCCAGAACGCCUGCAGAUCCAGGUCCAGUGUUGCCAUCACCUGCACCUGAGCUGCUUAGACCAACAGCCCUGCUGACAUUCUCAGGCUUAAACUCUUCUUCAUUACCCCUACCACUCCUCUCAAAGACCAACAACUCACCCAGUUCACAAAAGCUGUAUUAUC